CUCGGAGUUUGAUCCUGGCUCAGAUUGAACGCUGGCGGAAUGCUUUACACAUGCAAGUCGAACGGUAGAGGGGGUAACCCCUCGAGAGUGGCGAACGGGUGAGUAAUAUAUCGGAACGUGCCCAGUCGCGGGGGAUAACGUAGCGAAAGUUACGCUAAUACCGCAUACGAUCUAAGGAUGAAAGCGGGGGAUCGCAAGACCUCGCGCGAUUGGAGCGGCCGAUAUCAGAUUAGGUAGUUGGUGGGGUAAAGGCCCACCAAGCCAACGAUCUGUAGCUGGUCUGAGAGGACGACCAGCCACACUGGAACUGAGACACGGUCAGACUCCUACGGGAGCAGCAGUGGGGAAUUUGGACAAUGGACGCAAGUCUGAUCCAGCCAUUCCCGCGUGCA
rnacentral:rRNA from 1 species